rnacentral:rRNA from 1 species
UAGUCAUAUGCUUGUCUCAAGGAUUAAGCCAUGCAUGUCUAAGUAUGAACCUUCAUACGGUGAAACUGCGAACGGCUCAUUACGACAGUCAUCAUUUACUUGGUCAUUGGAUUUCGGUCCUACAUGGAUACCUGUCGGUAACACCAGAGCUAAUACAUGCACAAACUCCCUGGCGCAAGCGGGGAGGCAUUUAUUAGAUUCCACCAACCCGGCGCUCGCGCCGGUCGGAUGAUUCACAGUAAACUUUGCGAAUCGCUCCUACGGAGUGAUGAACCAAUCAAGUUUCUGCCCUAUCAGCUUUCGUCGGUACGGUAUUGGCGUACCGAGGCGUCAACGGGUAACGGGGAAUUAGGGUUUGAUUCCGGAGAGGGAGCCUGAGAGACGGCUACCACAUCUAAGGAAGGCAGCAGGCGCGCAAAUUACCCAAUGGCAAUUCGCCGAGGUAGCGACAAGAAAUAACUGUUGUGGGCUUCGGUCCGCGAACGGGAAUGAGGUUGUACACAAAACCCACACCGAGUAACAAUU